GACGAACGCUGGCGGCGUGCCUAACACAUGCAAGUCGAGCGGAGUCGAUCGACGGAAGCCUUCGGGCGGAAGAUGGUUGACUUAGCGGCGGAUGGGUGAGUAACGCGUGGGCAACCUGCCUCGAAGACCGGGAUAACAGCCCGAAAGGGCUGCUAAUACCGGAUGUGGUCAAGGAUCCGCAUGGAUUUUUGAUUAAAGGGGAAACCCGUUUCGAGAUGGGCCCGCGUCCUAUCAGCUAGUUGGUGAGGUAAAAGCUCACCAAGGCGACGACGGGUAGCCGGCCUGAGAGGGUGACCGGCCACACUGGAACUGAGACACGGUCCAGACUCCUACGGGGGGCAGCAGUGGGGAAUCUUCCACAAUGGGCGAAAGCCUGAUGGAGCGACGCCGCGUGAGCGAAGAAGGCCUCGGUUGUAAGCUCUGUCUGGAGGGACGAAGGAAGUGACGGUACCUCCGGAGGAAGCCACGGCGUAACUACGUGCCAGCAGCCGCGGUAUAGUGUGUGUA
rnacentral:rRNA from 1 species